rnacentral:sRNA from 1 species
UGACUAUGGUAACACUAGGCUGUUCGUCAGCCU